ensembl:lncRNA
CGGGAGGACAGAACACGACCGCAAGACCCCAGCACCACCAGCCCACACCGACAGAGAGAGAGAGAGAACCAUGAAGACCCCCGCCAACGUCGCCCUGCUCCUCCUCAUCGCUUCCUGCGGCGUCUUCAUCCCAGUAUCAACCAAUGGCAAUACGACCACAGCAACGACUGAAGCCAAAGUGAUCACCACGGUCCCCUUGUCCACGGCCACAAGCGGGACGACCCCCUCCGCCGGGACAGCCAAGCCCAGCACGGUCCAAGCCACGGUAACGACCGGCAACCAUUCCUCCCCAGCGCCGACAACCACGCCUUCCAAUUAUACCGCGGCGCCCGUCUCCGUGACAACAGAUAACAAAACGUCGGAGCUCCUCAACAGCACCGGAGCCGUGUCCGGGAACGCCAGCACGGGAGGGCAGCAGAACUCCUCCUCCGAGGCGUCCACCCCCAAGGACCUGCCGAAAGGUCUCAAUAUGACCAAACCCACCAAUGAACCGAAUAUAAUGAUGACCAGCAAGGCAACCACGCUCCCCCCCCCCAACCCGGGAAAAAGCCCCUCUGCCAACACUGUUCUUCCGACGAGGGGCCAGACGCAGUCGAAGGCCGUUGAGGAGCCUGAAAAGGGGAAGACGACGCUCGCAAAGUCAGAUAAGAAGCUCCUGUGGAUCCUGCUCCCCGUUCUGGGCAUCGCCGUGGCCGCCGUCUUCUUCCUGCUCAAAUUCAAGUGCAAGAACGUCCACAACCACAUGGACACCAUCGACAACGGCACAGAGAACGCGUCUUUCCAAAGCCGCCCUGAAAGCACGAAGGACGGCGUCAUGCUGCUGGGGGUCCGAGCAUCCGGGGCCGGAGAGAAUGCAGCCACAGGAUCAAGAUAAUGGAAGGAAGGAGGAGAAGGUUUCCUCUUGGCCGAUGGAAUCAGUGGAUGGACGUAAGGACGGUCGGCGACGGCUCCUCACUCCUGGAUAAAAGAUUAUGAUUUGUUUUUAUUGUCAUUUUUGUACACGACGAGAUGAUUAUGAAGUGAUCAGAAAACAGAAGAUGUAAGAUAUGAGAGCGUUGGAGUUCACCAUGUAUAUUCGAUCCCGAUUUUUUCCGGGUUUUCAGAAAACACAAGUCCUGCUCCCCCCUGCACUGAGCCAGCUGAUUCACUCUGUCAUUACUACUGUGGGUUCAACCUCACCCUCACCCCAGCCCCUAUCUACUGAUGGUUACAUGAGGGAAGGGAGGUUUAUAUGAAGCCUAAUGCAUUCACUGGAGAAAUUAAAUUCUGCUCUUGCUUUUCUAAAUUAAAGGACAAAUCCGGUGUAAAAUGGAUCUGGGAUAUGUUUAGUAUGAUAACGAGUUGGAAUGUUCGCUUGGGAGCAAAAAUGCGCUUAUAGACGCAUUCUUAAAUUGGCUGUUUUUAGCCGAUUCUACCAAAACCCUAAAAACUUCGAACGAUGGGGGCAUUUGUUAUGGUAAAAACGAAAUCGCUACUUUGAACCACUUAAAAGGCUACAAGUAGCCCGACACUUCUUUAGUAGUAUAAUAAGGGUCUUAACAUAUAAAAUGAGGCGUUGAUAACUUUGUAAGUGCACAAAUUGUUUAUUAAAACGACAUUUUAUACACACAUUAGCUGUGUUCGAAAUCGUUCCCUUUACACUUGUUCCCUAUUCCCUAUAUAGUGUACAUGAUUUAGUGCACCACUGCACUAUAUAGGGAAUAGGGAACGAGAAUUCGGACACUACGCUGAACAUUUCUAAACGUCAUUUGCGUCAGUAAAUGCGCCGGGUAUUUGUGUGACGCAGACAGAUGCGCCCACAUCAGGUAAACAUACCAGGCAGUCACGAGGAAAGCUGGAGGUUGUAUUGAUGUUGAAUGUUACAUUUCCUUGUUCAAGUAUUUUUUUUAUUCAUUUUGAAUGUUAAAUAUUCUAUGUUAAAUCCCAAAUAAAUUGUUGACAUUUCUAAACGAAAGCCGGAGACUCCAUCAUUAAAUGUAUUCGUUUUCGCGGUUAUUCAGCUUCUUCUUCUCCUCCGGAAAAACACGACCGCAUUGCAUUGUGGUAUACGGGAGUAACAUGUAGGGAACAUCGUAUGUACCCUAUUUUAAGUCCACUAUAUAGUGCCCUAUAUAGUGGACCACUGAGAAUUCGAACACCCUACAAAAUGGCGUGCACCCUAUUUAGUGGACUACAUCCAUGAUAGGGAACGAUUUCGAACACAGAUAAUAACAUCAGUAGUUCACCCGUCGACGCCAUCUUGUUUUCAAGACUCGAUAAGUAGAUUGGCGAACACAUGUCCAUGGCGAACACAGGCUUGCGUGUUGCUGACGGAUGUCACAAUCUCUGUGUUCGUCAAUCUACCUAUCGAGUCUUAAAAACAAGAUGAACGUUCCAACUUGUUAGCAUACCAAACAUAUCCCAAAACCGGAUUCUCCUUUAACAACAUAAUUAUCUCCGAAAUCUGCGAUAAUUUUCUGUAGCCUAAAUUUUUAUUUAAGUUAAUUUUGAAAUUUCCGAAAUAAAUAGCAGAUCCCUAAAACUUUAUCUCAGAAUUCUGAGAUUAGUAUGUUGUUUAUUCAGAAACACAUGAGCUUUAUUUUCUUGAGUGAACGUAUUAUGCAACCCUUAUGCAAAGCAAUUCAUACAUGUGUUGUACACUGUGAUUAUUAGUUGUUUGCUAGCUUUUAUUUACUUUAAUUUCUGAUAUUAGGCUACAAAUGUACAUUUGUUGUUAGUUUUUUGUUGACUGAUUCAGCUUUCUUAUGCUUUGUAAACAUGACAACAAUAUUAGAAAUGGAAAAAGAAGUACUCUCUUGUAUUUUGUCCAUCUGAAAAAACCUAUUGGUGGAAAUCAGUGUCAACAUACAAUCACACACCAAAGUAUCCAUGAUUAGGUUGUUUAUUUUAUUUGACCAACAAACUGAUCUUCGUUUAAAGUUGAUAAUUGUUCCGUUAGUUAUUUAGUUGUUCCUUUAAUAAAUUCGACAUUUCUGGAGGGAAUCCUGCUUCUGCUCCGUCAUUCGUCGGUUCAUGACUUUCGCCACUAGAG